rnacentral:rRNA from 1 species
AACAGGAUUAGAUACCCUGGUAGUCCACGCCGUAAACGAUGUCGACUUGGAGGUUGUUCCCUUGAGGAGUGGCUUCCGGAGCUAACGCGUUAAGUCGACCGCCUGGGGAGUACGGCCGCAAGGUUAAAACUCAAAUGAAUUGACGGGGGCCCGCACAAGCGGUGGAGCAUGUGGUUUAAUUCGAUGCAACGCGAAGAACCUUACCUACUCUUGACAUCCAGAGAACUUGGCAGAGAUGCCUUGGUGCCUUCGGGAACUCUGAGACAGGUGCUGCAUGGCUGUCGUCAGCUCGUGUUGUGAAAUGUUGGGUUAAGUCCCGCAACGAGCGCAACCCUUAUCCUUUGUUGCCAGCGAUUCGGUCGGGAACUCAAAGGAGACUGCCGGUGAUAAACCGGAGGAAGGUGGGGAUGACGUCAAGUCAUCAUGGCCCUUACGAGUAGGGCUACACACGUGCUACAAUGGCGCAUACAAAGAGAAGCGACCUCGCGAGAGCAAGCGGACCUCAUAAAGUGCGUCGUAGUCCGGAUCGGAGUCUGCAACUCGACUCCGUGAAGUCGGAAUCGCUAGUAAUCGUGGAUCAGAAUGCCACAGUGAAUACGUUCCCGGGCCUUGUACACACCGCCCGUCACACCAUGGGAGUGGGUUGCAAAAGAAGUAGGUAGCUUAACCUUCGGGAGGGCGCUUACCACUUUGUGAUUCAUGACUGGGGUGAAGUCGUAACAAGGUAACC